GCCAGUGUAGUGCAGUGGUUUGAGCACUGGACUACGAUUCUGGAGACCAGAGUUUGACUCCCUGCUAGGCCA